rnacentral:rRNA from 1 species
GAUGAACGCUGGCGGCGUGCUUAACACAUGCAAGUCGAACGGAAAGGCCCUGCUUUUGUUGGGUGCUCGAGUGGCGAACGGGUGAGUAACACGUGUGUAACCUGCCCUUGACUUUGGGAUAACUUUAGGAAACUGGGGCUCUUACCGGAUAUGAGCUCCUGCUGCAUGGUGGUGGUUAGAAAGUUUCGGCGGUUGGGGAUGGACUCGCUGCUUAAGCGUUUGUUUGUGGGGUAGUGGUUUACCAAGGCUUAGAGGGAUAGGCAACCUGAGAGGGUUACCGGGCACAUGGAGACUGAGAGAGGGCGCAGACGGCAACGGGAGGCAACGGGGGGAAAUAUGACAAAGUGGGCAGGAGUGAGAUAGAGAAGCGCCGCGAGCGGGAAGACGGCUUUCGGGGUAUAAACAGAUGUCGACGGUGAAAAAGAGUGAGUGACGGUAAUGGGUAAAGAAGCACCGGCUAACUACGUG